rnacentral:tRNA from 1 species
UCUUUAGCUCAGUUGGCUAGAGUGAGCCAUAAUCGGCAGGUCGCUGGUUCAAGUCCAGCAAGAUCAUCA